AUUGAACGCUGGCGGCAUGCUUUACACAUGCAAGUCGAACGGUAACAGGUUAAGCUGACGAGUGGCGAACGGGUGAGUAAUGCAUCGGAACGUGCCCAGUCGUGGGGGAUAACGCAGCGAAAGCUGUGCUAAUACCGCAUACGAUCUAUGGAUGAAAGCGGGGGACCGUAAGGCCUCGCGCGAUUGGANCGGCCGAUGUCAGAUUAGCUAGUUGGUGGGUAAAGGCCCACCAAGGCGACGAUCUGUAGCUGGUCUGAGAGGACGACCAGCCACACUGGAACUGAGACACGGUCCAGACUCCUACGGGAGGCAGCAGUGGGGAAUUUUGGGACAAUGGGCGCAAGCCUGAUCCAGCAAUGCCGCGUGCAGGAAGAAGGCCUUCGGGUUGUAAACUGCUUUGUACGGAACGAAAAGGCUAAUGGCUAAUACCCGGAGCGUC
rnacentral:rRNA from 1 species